rnacentral:rRNA from 1 species
UACGUAGGGUGCGAGCGUUAAUCGGAAUUACUGGGCGUAAAGCGUGCGCAGGCGGCGCCGCAAGUCGAGUGUGAAAUCCCCGAGCUUAACUUGGGAAUUGCGCUCGAAACUACGGUGCUGGAGUGUGGCAGAGGGGGGUGGAAUUCCACGUGUAGCGGUGAAAUGCGUAGAGAUGUGGAGGAACACCGAUGGCGAAGGCAGCCUCCUGGGCCAACACUGACGCUCAUGCACGAAAGCGUGGGGAGCAAACAGG